GGUGCCGCCACUUACUCUGCCAUCGACUGCGUUUUAUUUGCAAAGGGAAGACGCGCUGCUGCAAAGCUGGCUUUCAAAUGUAGAGAACUGAUUACUUCCUUCUUUACUCUGCACAUUUAUGAAUUUAUUCUGGCUGCCACUAUUUUUUCUGUCAACAACUGUGUUUUAUUUGCAAAAUGAAGAUGCUCUGCCCGAAAGAAAGCUUUUAAACACACAGAAAUCAGUACCUCCCUCUUUCAUUCGAGUUCGCUGGACUGCCUGCCUCAUGACAGCAUCUCCACCAGCCGCCUGUGGUUGCGCAGCCUGGCGAGGUCCAGCGCUGUCUCCCCAUCACCAGCUGUGGCCCCCCUGUCGGCCCCCGCGACGAGCAGCGCAGCCGCCACUUCUGCGCGGCCAUUCGCUGCCGCAACAUGCAGCGGCGUCCAGCCACCCCGAUCCCUGGCGUCCACCGCCGCCCCCGCCCCCACCAGCAGCCUCGCCGCCUCGACGUCUCCCCUGACUGCUGCCCAGUGCAGGGCGGUCCGCCCCAACAGCCAGCCCCUCGCCCCCACGUCGGCCCCUGCGGCGAUCAGCGCCCUCAGCUCCCCCACUGCCCCCUGCCGAGCCGCCUGGAGCAGCCUCCAGCCCCUCUCCUCUGCAGAGAGGCUCCUGCACAAAACACACAAACUGCCACUCUCUGCUGCAAACACACAACACACAGAACGAGGAAAACAGUCACACGAGGAAACAACUGCUGCGAAUACAAAUCUGUCCUGAAACAAACCUACCGUAUUCCCCCUCCCACAGUACAAAACAGUGCGCAGUUGUGUGUAUGUAUUAAAUUACAGCAAAUCUGUUCCAUCUCCCGCAUUAGAAAAUCUUCAUUCAUCGUCCAUUACAAAUAGCAUUAUACAACCUCUGAAAGAAUUUCAUUACCACAUUUUGUCACACUCAUUCCUGCAAGUUGAAAGGUGGCUACACUGAGCCACAGCGCCAGAGAUUGCACCAAAGAGUUUUAUUCCGCCGCCUCC